GACGAACGCUGGCGGCGUGCUUAACACAUGCAAGUCGAACGAAGAGCGACGGAAGCUUGCUUCUAUCAAUCUUAGUGGCGAACGGGUGAGUAACGCGUAAUCAACCUGCCCUUCAGAGGGGGACAACAGUUGGAAACGACUGCUAAUACCGCAUACGAUCUAACCUCGGCAUCGAGGAUAGAUGAAAGGUGGCCUCUACAUGUAAGCUAUCACUGCAGGAGGGGAUUGCGUCUGAUUAGCUAGUUGGAGGGGUAACGGCCCACCAAGGCGAUGAUCAGUAGCCGGUCUGAGAGGAUGAACGGCCACAUUGGGACUGAGACACGGCCCAGACUCCUACGGGAGGCAGCAGUGGGGAAUCUUCCGCAAUAGACGAAAGUCUGACGGAGCAACGCCGCGUGAGUGAUGACGGCCUUCGGGUUGUAAAGCUCUGUUAAUCGGGACGAAAGGCCUUCUUGCGAAUAGUGAGAAGGAUUGACGGUACCGGAAUAGAAAGCCACGGCUAACUACGUG
rnacentral:rRNA from 1 species